rnacentral:rRNA from 1 species
GACGAACGCUGGCGGCGUGCCUAACACAUGCAAGUCGAGCGGAGAUACAUUGAAGAGCAAUCAGAUAUGUAUCUUAGCGGCGGACGGGUGAGUAACGCAUGGGCAACCUGCCUCAUACUGGGGGAUAACACAGGGAAACUUGUGCUAAUACCGCAUAAUAUCAUUAUAGGGCAUCCUGUGAUGAUCAAAGGAGCGAUCCGGUGUGAGAUGGGCCCGCGUCCAAUUAGCUAGUUGGUGGGGUAACGGCCCACCAAGGCGACGAUUGGUAGCCGAACUGAGAGGUUGAUCGGCCACAUUGGGACUGAGACACGGCCCAGACUCCUACGGGAGCAGCAGUGGGGAAUAUUGCGCAAUGGGGGAAACCCUGACGCAGCAACGCCGCGUGAAGGAUGAAGGUCUUCGGAUUGUAAACUUCUUUGAUGAGGGACGAACACAAUGACGGUACCUACAAAAACAGACCACGGCUAACUACGUGCCAGCAC